AGAACCCAUCUGCUCCGGCGAUCGUCAGCUCUACGGCAUAUAUGGCCAGUCCACUGCCACUUUAGCUUGCUGACUCUUUGAGCUAUGUCGAUGGCUUUAGUUCUCUGUCGAAUAACCUCAUUCCGGAUUUUAUAUUUCAGAGAAACUCCGAGAAUGGCUCUUCCCAUUGCUGGUUGAGCGACCUUGAGCUGACGAACCAUCCUUACUAUGAGUGUCCACGUCUCGGCUCCGUUAAGGAAGUACCUACAGUAUCGAUUAGUCUUUUGUUGUUUCUUUUGUAUUGAAAAACCGCAAAGAAAUCCACCAUUCAGUUUCGUUGGACGGAAAAUGUUUGAAGGCGACGACAUUGCCAGCUUUACGUCCAAUUUUUCCUGUUUGUCAUCAGUGUUCUUUGAACGUCGCCCGGAUUUGCACCGAAAGCCUCUUAACACUUUUUUUGUAUACAUAUUUUUUCUUGACGACAUUGUUCAGAUUUCACUUGAUUUUUGGUUUCGGUUUGACGUAAUUUUUUUAACGUGAAGUCCCGCGGUAGUCGAAAUUCGACUAUAAUUAAUUAGAAUUGUAAGUUUGUACACUAUUAUGAUUGUAUUUUAUACUUCUAUAAUCACAAAUUUCGCCAAGACUACACAAUAAAAAUAUUAACAAAGUCAAACAA